rnacentral:rRNA from 1 species
GAUGAACGCUGGCGGCGUGCCUAAUACAUGCAAGUCGAGCGAACAGACGAGGAGCUUGCUCCUCUGACGUUAGCGGCGGACGGGUGAGUAACACGUGGAUAACCUACCUAUAAGACUGGGAUAACUUCGGGAAACCGGAGCUAGUACCGGAUAAUAUAUUGAACCGCAUGGUUCAAUAGUGAAAGACGGUUUUGCUGUCACUUAUAGAUGGAUCCGCGCCGCAUUAGCUAGUUGGUAAGGUAACGGCUUACCAAGGCAACGAUGCGUAGCCGACCUGAGAGGGUGAUCGGCCACACUGGAACUGAGACACGGUCCAGACUCCUACGGGAGGCAGCAGUAGGGAAUCUUCCGCAAUGGGCGAAAGCCUGACGGAGCAACGCCGCGUGAGUGAUGAAGGUCUUCGGAUCGUAAAACUCUGUUAUUAGGGAAGAACAAAUGUGUAAGUAACUAUGCACGUCUUGACGAUACCUAAUCAGAAAGCCACGGCUAACUACGUG